rnacentral:rRNA from 1 species
GUCCACGCCGUAAACGAUGGAUACUAGCUGUUGGGGGCAACUUCAGUGGCUAAGCGAAAGUGAUAAGUAUCCCACCUGGGGAGUACGUUCGCAAGAAUGAAACUCAAAGGAAUUGACGGGGGCCCGCACAAGCGGUGGAGCAUGUGGUUUAAUUCGAUGAUACGCGAGGAACCUUACCAAGGCUUAAAUGUAGAUUGACCGAUUUGGAAACAGAUCUUUCGCAAGACAAUUUACAAGGUGCUGCAUGGUUGUCGU